rnacentral:tRNA from 1 species
UGCCCGAUGGUGUAACGGUAACACAGCGCCCUUUGGAGGCGUUUUUCAUGGUUCGAAUCCAUGUCGGGCAACCA